AUUGAACGCUGGCGGCAGGCCUAACACAUGCAAGUCGAGCGGAGCGGCGGACGGGUGAGUAAUGCCUAGGACUCUGCCUGGUCGUGGGGGAUCACGUCCGGAAACGGGCACUUAUACCGCAUACUAUCAGAUGAGCCUAUGUCGGAUUAGCUAGUGGGUGGGGGAAAGGCCUACCAAGGCGACGAUCCGUAACUGGUCUGAGAGGAUGAUCAGUCACACUGGAACUAAGACACGGUCCAGACUCCUACGGGGGGCAGCAGUGGGGAAUAUUGGACAAUGGGCGAAAGCCUGAUGCAGCCAUGCCGCGUGUGUGAAGAAGGUCUUCGGAUUGUAAAGCACUUUAAGUUGGGAGGCGUUACCAACAGAAUAAGCACCGGCUAACUUCGUGCCAGCAGCCGCGGUAAUUC
rnacentral:rRNA from 1 species